rnacentral:rRNA from 1 species
GAUGAACGCUGGCGGCGUGCCUAAUACAUGCAAGUCGAGCGAGCGGACGAGAAGCUUGCUUUUCUGAUGUUAGCGGCGGACGGGUGAGUAACACGUGGAUAACCUACCUAUAAGACUGGGAUAACUUCGGGAAACCGGAGCUAAUACCGGAUAAUAUUUUGAACCGCAUGGUUCAAAAGUGAAAGACGGUCUUGCUGUCACUUAUAGAUGGAUCCGCGCUGCAUUAGCUAGUUGGUAAGGUAACGGCUUACCAAGGCAACGAUGCAUAGCCGACCUGAGAGGGUGAUCGGCCACACUGGAACUGAGACACGGUCCAGACUCCUACGGGAGGCAGCAGUAGGGAAUCUUCCGCAAUGGGCGAAAGCCUGACGGAGCAACGCCGCGUGAGUGAUGAAGGUCUUCGGAUCGUAAAACUCUGUUAUUAGGGAAGAACAAAUGUGUAAGUAACUAUGAACAUCUUGACGGUACCUAAUCAGAAAGCCACGGCUAACUACGUG